AAAUCAAUUGAUGAGAAAAAAACUGCAACAAUAUGAUUGGUUAGUUCCAUGAUUCGUAGUAUUUAAGUCUCCGAUGAUU